rnacentral:rRNA from 1 species
CCUACGGGAGGCAGCAGUGGGGAAUAUUGCACAAUGGGGGAAACCCUGAUGCAGCAACGCCGCGUGGGUGAAGGAGCGUUUCGGCGCGUAAAGCCCUGUCAGCGGGGAAGAAGAAAGACGGUACCCGACCAAGAAGCCCCGGCUAACUACGUGCCAGCAGCCGCGGUAAUACGUAGGGGGCGAGCGUUAUCCGGAAUUAUUGGGUGUAAAGGGUGCGUAGACGGGAAAGCAAGUUAGUUGUGAAAUCCCUCGGCUUAACUGAGGAACUGCAACUAAAACUACUUUUCUUGAGUGCAGGAGAGGAA